CCCGCUCAGAAACUUAAAGGAAUUGACGGGGGCCCGCACAAGCGGUGGAGCAUGUGGUUUAAUUCGAUGAUACGCGAGGAACCUUACCUGGGCUCAAAUGUAUGUUGACGUAUUCUGAAAGGGAUACUUCUUCGGACAAUAUACAAGGUGCUGCAUGGUUGUCGUCAGCUCGUGCCGUGAGGUGUCGGGUUAAGUCCCAUAACGAGCGCAACCCCUAUCAUUAGUUGCCAUCAGGUCAAGCUGGGGACUCUAAAGGAACUGCCUACGCAAGUAGUGAGGAAGGCGGGGAUGACGUCAAAUCAGCACGGCCCUUACGUCCAGGGCUACACACGUGCUACAAUGGCCGAUACAGAGGGCAGCUACCUGGUGACAGGAUGCAAAUCUCCAAAGUCGGUCUCAGUUCGGAUCGGAGUCUGCAACCCGACUCCGUGAAGUUGGAUUCGCUAGUAAUCGCGCAUCAGCCAUGGCGCGGUGAAUACGUUCCCGGGCCUU
rnacentral:rRNA from 1 species